rnacentral:rRNA from 1 species
CCCUUCGAUAUGCUGGGCGGCACGCGCGCUACAAUGAGGUUUAAAACGUGUUGCUUAUCCGAUAUGGAUAAGUGAAUCAUAAAAUGACCUUCUUGAAUGGGAUAGUUGCUUGCAAUUUUUCAACUUGAAAAAGGAAUGCCUUGUAAGGGUGCUUGAGAACAGCGCUCUGAAUACGUCCCUGUGGAAUGUACACACCGCCCGUCGUUUCUUCCGACUGAUGUUCAAUGUGAAUUGCGAGGAGGUAUUCCGAAUCACCGUGAAUGUUGAAUAUUGGAGGAAGAAAAAGUCGUAACA